GACGAACGUUGGCGGCGUGCUUAAUACAUGCAAGUCCACUGAAGCAGUGGUAGCAAUCUCGCUGUGGAGGUGGCGCACGGGUGAGUAACACGUAGGUAAUCUGCCUUCAGGUCUGGCAUAACUCCGGGAAACCGGGGCUAAUAGCAGAUGAUGCAGCGGCUCGACAUCGAGACAGUUGUUAAAGCUAUGGCGCCUGAAGAUGAGCCUGCGUCUGAUUAGCUAGUUGGCGGGGUAACGGCCCACCAAGGCAACGAUCAGUAGCUGGUCUGAGAGGAUGAUCAGCCACACUGGAACUGAGACACGGUCCAGACUCCUACGGGAGGCAGCAGUAAGGAAUAUUGCUCAAUGGGAGAAAUCCUGAAGCAGCAACGCCGCGUGAGGGACGAAGGGCUUUUGCUUGUAAACCUCUGUAGUGAGAGAAAAAAAUCCCAAUCUUUGGGACAUGAUGGUAGCUCAAAAGUAAGCCCCGGCUAACUACGUG
rnacentral:rRNA from 1 species